UACGUAGGGGGCGAGCGUUGUCCGGAGUUACUGGGCGUAAAGCGUGCGUAGACGGUAGCGUAAGUCAGAUGUGAAAGCCCCGGGCUCAACCUGGGAACUGCAUUUGAGACUGCUCUGCUCGGGUGCGGAAGAGGGAAGCGGAAUUUCCGGUGUAGCGGUGAAAUGCGUAGAUAUCGGAAGGAACACCAGUGGCGAAAGCGGCUUCCUGGUCCGACACCGACGUUCAGGCACGAAAGCGUGGGGAGCAAACAGG
rnacentral:rRNA from 1 species